CAUGGAAACUGGGAGUUGAUGGAUGUGUUGAUGACUGGAUUGUGAUAAAUAUUCCAGAGUGUAUACAUCUGUCAAAUGGUUGGUCACAUCAUGCAUGGUAAGUAUACACAUAUCUAUUUCAUUAGUUCUAGCUCAGUAAGGCUGGAAAAGAAGAAAGGAGGUGGGCUGGGUUUGCCACCUUUAGUGGUGUUCAACCCAUGUUUCCCAUGAGAUCCAUGAAGCAUUUUGCAAAACCAUGUAUGGUAACCCCUACCCUAUCAGACAUCCUCAGAUACUUGCACGGGUCCUAGUCCCAAGUAUGUUCACAGUGCAGCAAAUCUGAUCUAGAUCCUGCAUUGAGCACCAAGGCUGUUAGCCUCCACUUCUGAGACUGAGAUCAGCCCCAGGGAUGAGGAGGCCACUCUGCUCAGAGUGGGGCUGGACCAGGGCCUGCUCUGUGACCUGAAGGGGAUUGUUGGGUCAGCAUAGGUGCUCCCUGUCGCUGUGUGCAUGAGGCCUCACCAGGAGGGGAGUGUGAUCCGAGGGAAAGUGUGGGAAAGAUCCCAUGUUGGUCUCUGUGCGGGAGUUGCCUGUCCUGAGUCCCUCCUGAGACAGUGACCACAGAAGUCUGUCUGUUCCCCACGGAGAGGGCUUCCCUGCAUGUGUGGUUUGGGCUCAGGAAGGGGUAAUGUUGAUUGUAGGCAUUAAACAGCAUGUUUUCAACUUUCAGUAUAAACCUCUGCAGGAUGCCUGAGAAGAAACCUGGAAGAGGAAAGAACAGGAGUCAGGCAUGGCUCUCUCUCAGAUGCAGGGGCGAGUGGGAUCAGAAGAAGCAGUGACUGAGAGUGAAAGGCAAAUUCAGAAGUGGAAAACAAUGAGAGAACCGACAGGGUCGCCCAGGAUGGCUGAGGCAAUUGCAAAGAGAUGAUCAACUUCUAGAAGCUUACAUUGUCUGAGGAAGAAGCGGGGAAGAGGAGGAAAAAAGGAAAGAAAACAGGAAUGGAUCUUUCUCAGUUCUGGAGGCCAGGAUUGUAAAAUGAACCCUCAGCCAUGUGCUGCUUCUGGAUUCUCCAGAGUACAUCAUGAGAAACACUGGGCUGGAUGAAACACAAG